rnacentral:SRP_RNA from 11 species
GUCACCUCGUCAGUGUAGUCAUCCUGCGACGGAAAAUCGUGACCGUUGAGGUAGUGGGCGCGAUUGGCAACG